GAUGAACGCUAGCGGCAGGCUUAAUACAUGCAAGUCAAGGGGGUAGCAAUACAACCGGUGCACGGGUGAGUAACGCGUACACAACAUACCAUAUACUGGAGUAUAGCUUUGGGAAACUGAAGGUAAUCCUCCAUAACAUUGCGAGAGGGCAUCUGAUUGCAAUUAAAGUUUCGGCGGUAUAUGAUUGGUGUGCGUUUGAUUAGCUAGUUGGUAGGGUAACGGCCUACCAAGGCGACGAUCAAUAGCUGGCGUGAGGGCGCGACCAGCCACACCGGAACUGAGACACGGUCCAGACUCCUACGGGAGGCAGCAGUAGGGAAUAUUGGACAAUGGAGGAAACUCUGAUCCAGCCAUGCCGCGUGAUAGAUGAAGGCCCUCUGGGUUGUAAAUAUCUUUUAUCUGGGAAGAAACACUCCUAUUCUUAGGAACUUGACGGUACCAGAGGAAUAAGCACCGGCUAACUCCGUG
rnacentral:rRNA from 1 species